rnacentral:rRNA from 1 species
GAUGAACGCUAGCUACAGGCUUAACACAUGCAAGUCGAGGGGCAGCAUGGUCUUAGCUUGCUAAGGCCGAUGGCGACCGGCGCACGGGUGAGUAACACGUAUCCAACCUGCCGUCUACUCUUGGACAGCCUUCUGAAAGGAAGAUUAAUACAAGAUGGCAUCAUGAGUUCACAUGUUCACAUGAUUAAAGGUAUUCCGGUAGACGAUGGGGAUGCGUUCCAUUAGAUAGUAGGCGGGGUAACGGCCCACCUAGUCUUCGAUGGAUAGGGGUUCUGAGAGGAAGGUCCCCCACAUUGGACUGAGACACGGACCAA